GACGAACGCUGGCGGCGUGCUUAACACAUGCAAGUCGAACGGUGAACCAGGGCUUGCCCUGGGGAUCAGUGGCGAACGGGUGAGUAACACGUGGGCAACCUGCCCCAGACUCUGGGAUAACUUCGGGAAACCGGAGCUAAUACCGGAUACGAAUCGAGUUGGCAUCUUCUCGAUUGGAAAGUUUUUCGGUCUGGGAUGGGCCCGCGGCCUAUCAGCUUGUUGGUGGGGUAAUGGCCUACCAAGGCGACGACGGGUAGCCGGCCUGAGAGGGCGACCGGCCACACUGGGACUGAGACACGGCCCAGACUCCUACGGGAGGCAGCAGUGGGGAAUAUUGCGCAAUGGGCGAAAGCCUGACGCAGCGACGCCGCGUGAGGGACGACGGCCUUCGGGUUGUAAACCUCUUUCAGCAGGGAUGAAGCGAAAGUGACAGUACCUGCAGAAGAAGCACCGGCUAACUACGUGCCAGCCGCC
rnacentral:rRNA from 1 species